rnacentral:rRNA from 1 species
GUGGGGAAUAUUGGACAAUGGGCGAAAGCCUGAUCCAGCCAUGCCGCGUGUGUGAAGAAGGUCUUCGGAUUGUAAAGCACUUUAAGUUGGGAGGAAGGGCAGUAAGUUAAUACCUUGCUGUUUUGACGUUACCGACAGAAUAAGCACCGGCUAACUUCGUGCCAGCAGCCGCGGUAAUACGAAGGGUGCAAGCGUUAAUCGGAAUUACUGGGCGUAAAGCGCGCGUAGGUGGUUUUGUAAGUUGGAGGUGAAAUCCCCGGGCUCAACCUGGGAACUGCAUCCAAAACUGCAUGACUAGAGUACGGGAGAGGGUAGUGGAAUUUCCUGUGUAGCGGUGAAAUGCGUAGAUAUAGGAAGGAACACCAGUGGCGAAGGCGACUACCUGGACUGAUACUGACACUGAGGUGCGAAAGCGUGGGGAGCAAACAGGAUUAGAAACCCUUGUAGUCC